AGAGAGUUCAAGAGUACGUGAAACCGUUCAGGGGUAAACGGAAGAGACCCGAAAGUUCGAACGGGGAGAUUCACGCUCUCUCGUCCCGUCACACUGCCGCCUGCCAGACUAACCACACGUUCGAUCCGUCCGUACUUGUGCGUCCGGUGACAACGAACUGUUGGCUGGUUUACGACGGUAAGAGGCGACGGAGGGCCGCACUUCUCCCUCAGUAGGACGUCGCGACCCGUUGGGUUUGCGGUCUAAGGCUCCGGAUGUUGGCCGGCGGUCGCACGGGUUUCGGCCCGUUGUGUUACCGUCCGGACACCGGGUGUCCCGACCGAACGCCCGACGGUAUUGCACGCAGGUGUUGAACCGCCUUAAGGCGCCCUUGGCCAGUCGCAAGCGUGGUCGCGUAUCGGUGAGCUCGGACAUCUCGUCCGACUCCCGUGCCGGCUCGCUGUUGGCGUGCUGUGUCCUCGGGCCGGUGUUCAAAAGCACCGGACUGCGACGCUUCAGCUUUGGGUACUCAUCCGACCCGUCUUGAAACACGGACCAAGGAGUCUAACAUGUGCGCAAGUCAUUGGGUGAAAAACCUAAAGGCGAAAUGAAAUUGAAAGCUGUAGCUUUUUUCAACCUAGGGAGGAUGAGCGUGUUGCCCAAUCGGCAGCGCUCCGCACUCUCGGGGCGUCUCAUUCUCAUUGCGAGACGAGGCGCACCCAGAGCGUACACGUUGGGACCCGAAAGAUGGUGAACUAUGCCUGGCCAGGACGAAGUCAGGGGAAACCCUGAUGGAGGUUCGUAGCGGUUCUGACGUGCAAAUCGAUCGUCGGAGCUGGGUAUAGGGGCGAAAGACUAAUCGAACCAUCUAGUAGCUGGUUCCCUCCGAAGUUUCCCUCAGGAUAGCUGGUGCUCGGAGGAAAAGAAUCUCAUGCGGUAAAGCGAAUGAUUAGAGGCCUUGGGGCCGAAACGACCUCAACCUAUUCUCAAACUUUAAAUGGGUGAGAUCUCCAGCAUUCUUGAACUGUUUUUUGAACGAUGAUGCCGGAGUUUCGGAUCCAGAGUGACCAAGUGGGCCAAUUUUGGUAAGCAGAACUGGCGCUGUGGGAUGAACCAAACGCCGAGUUAAGGCGCCUAAACGACGCUCAUGGGAAACCAUGAAAGGCGUUGGUUGCUUAAGACAGCAGGACGGUGGCCAUGGAAGUCGGAAUCCGCUAAGGAGUGUGUAACAACUCACCUGCCGAAGCAACUAGCCCUGAAAAUGGAUGGCGCUGUAGCGUCGUGCCUAUACUCGGCCGUCAACGGCACAGUGGGCGACACCUUCGCGGGUGUCGGGCCGUUAUGCCUUGACGAGUAGGAGGGUCGCUGCGAUGAGCGCAGAAGGGUCUGGGCGUGAGCCUGCCUGGAGCCAUCGUUGGCGCAGA
rnacentral:rRNA from 1 species